rnacentral:rRNA from 1 species
CGAGCACGCGCGUGUGGCAUAUCAAUAAGCGGAGGAAAAGAAACUAACAAGGGUUCCCUUAGUAACGGCGAGUGAAGCGGGAAGAGCUCAAAUUUGAAAUCUUCAAGGUUCUACCUUGACGAAUUGUAGUUUAUAGAAGUGUUUUCUGUUAGUAGGAGUGGCAAAAGUUCUUUGGAAUAGGACAUCAUAGAGGGUGAGAAUCCCGUAUUUGGUCAUUCUUUCUAGCUUUGUGAUACACUUUCAACGAGUCGGAUUGUUUGGGAAUGUAGUCCAAAAUGGGUGGUAAAUUUCAUCUAAAGCUAAAUAUUGGCGAGAGACCGAUAGCGAACAAGUACCGUGAGGGAAAGAUGAAAAGAACUUUGAAAAGAGAGUUAAACAGUGCGUGAAAUUGUCAAAAGGGAAGCGCUUUGACACCAGUGUUGUUUUUCCGAAAAUCAAUUACGAAUGUUUUAGUUUUUGAGGAGUUAUGACUUCAUCGGCUUGCUCCUUUCUUUAUGAAACUUUCUUAAUGCACUUUUCGGUUAACAAGUCAACAUCAAUUUCUUUUGUUGUAAAAGGGUAUGAGGAAGGUGGCUUUCUUUUCGGAGAAAGUGUUUAUAGCCUUGUGCCUCUGCAAUCGGAGAGAUUGAGGUCUGCAGCGUAGAUCCUUCGGGGUUAGAUACGUUUGUGCUAAGUUAUAGCUUUUCAUAGACAACUUGUUGACUAUGUUUAGUCUUGUAGCUUACUCGCUUACGCUAUUUUACCUACGCUUAGGAUGUUGAGUAGCGACAUACGCAC